GGAUGUGAUGGCGAUCUGGCUGUGACAUCUGUCACCUCAUUGAUCACCAGGGUUGCUUAGGCUGAUCUGGCUGGUUAGGCGGGUGUCCCCUUCCUCCCUCACUGCUCUGUGUGCGUCCCUCCCGAAGCUGCGCGCUUGGUGGAAGAGGACAACCUUCCCAGAGAGAGGUGAGGACCUUCUUCAGUCAAGGGUAUACAAGUAGCUGCGCUCCCCUCCUAGAACCUCUAAACGAGCGCUCAAAAUGCAUUUGCUUUGACAGCCUCAUCAUAUUCUUGAUUCCCAGUGAUCUUAUUGUCAAGUGAAACUUCCUG
ensembl:misc_RNA 7SK 7SK RNA